rnacentral:rRNA from 1 species
AGUGAACGCUGGCGGUGGGCCUAACACAUGCGAGUCGAACGGCAGCACAGUAAGAGCUUGCUCUUACGGGUGGCGAGUGGCGGACGGGUGAGGAAUACAUCGGAAUCUACUUUUUCGUGGGGGAUAACGUAGGGAAACUUACGCUAAUACCGCAUACGACCUACGGGUGAAAGCAGGGGAUCUUCGGACCUUGCGCGAUUGAAUGAGCCGAUGUCGGAUUAGCUAGUUGGCGGGGUAAAGGCCCACCAAGGCGACGAUCCGUAGUUGGUCUGAGAGGAUGAUCAGCCACACUGGAACUGAGACACGGUCCAGACUCCUACGGGAGGCAGCAGUGGGGAAUAUUGGACAAUGGGCGCAAGCCUGAUCCAGCCAUACCGCGUGGGUGAAGAAGGCCUUCGGGUUGUAAAGCCCUUUUGUUGGGAAAGAAAAGCAGCAGGUUAAUACCCCGCUGUUCUGACGGUACCCAAAGAAUAAGCACCGGCUAACUUCGUG